rnacentral:lncRNA from 1 species
GUGUCAGUCUAUUCGGAUCGAUCACCAUCCUCAUGCUGAUACUAUGAUUAAAAAUAUUUAAGAAUUAAAUAUAUAUUUCUAAUUCUCAAUAUUUGAGAAUAUGUAUUGAAAUGUUAAUUUCAUAGAUGAUUCAAGGACACAUCACUCUUGAAUGAAAAUUAAAUUUGUCCCUUUUAUUGAUUAAAUCAAUGUAUUAAGUAUAAAAUUAUGUCCUAAUUAUAUCUCAAUGUGUCAACCAUAUUGAC